GGAAGAAAUAGGUCUUCACUAAAAAUUGGCAAAUAGUGAAUUAUUCUGAGAUAACUACACAACGAUAAAGUGAGUGAAGCGGAAGGACCAAUGGGCUUUGGGGGACGUCUGUAAAAAAAUGAAUAGGCUAUACCAUACCACAAAAACUGCAUCAAACAGGAGGGAGGAUUGAGAGCAAUCUAUCGCAUAACAACACUCCAACACUCACAACAUAAUGAAAAAAAGACGCAUAUAUCAGUUAAAAAAAAG